UACCAGCACCCCGAGUGGUCGGGACGUUUAUUGGGCCUAAAGCAUCCGUAGCCGGUUCUACAAGUCUUCCGCUAAAUCCACCUGCUUAACAGAUGGGCUGCGGAAGAUACUAUAGAGCUAGGAGGCGGGAGAGGCAAGCGGUACUCGAUGGGUAGGGGUAAAAUCCGUUGAUCCAUUGAAGACCACCAGUGGCGAAGGCGGCUUGCCAGAACGCGCUCGACGGUGAGGGAUGAAAGCUGGGGAGCAAACGG
rnacentral:rRNA from 1 species